ACGCUCGACACCUACGGAGGCAGCAGUCGGGAAUAUUGCGCAAUGGAGGAAACUCUGACGCAGUGACGCCGCGUAUAGGAAGAAGGUUUUCGGAUUGUAAACUAUUGUCGUUAGGGAAGAUACAAGACAGUACCUAAGGAGGAAGCACCGGCUAACUAUGUCACANGCGCGAGUAUNGNGGCGUGNGAGAG
rnacentral:rRNA from 1 species